rnacentral:rRNA from 1 species
UUUAAAAAUAUGGGUAAUAAGAAGGUGGGCAAGAAAGAUGGCAAACGGAGUGGUAAACCUUCGCUUCAAGUGGUGUUCAUGAUUACUGGGCUUAAAGCGCCCGUAGACGGUCCGGUGAGUCCCCCCUUAAAUCUCCGGGCUCAAACCGGGGGCCGGGGGCAUAUAUCCGGGCUUGAGGGCGGGAGAGGCCUGCGGUUCUUCCGGGGUUGGGGCGAAAUUCUAUUAUUCCGGGAGGGCCCCCCGUGGCGAAAACCGCCGGCUGGAACCCCCCCCGCCGUUGAGGGCGGAAACCCGGGGGACCAAACGGGUUUAAUUACCGGGUAGUUCCGGCUGUUAACCAAUCCGGCUUGGUUUUGGGCGAGCGAUAGGGCCCGCCCAGUGCCGCAGGGAAGCCGUAAGCCCGCCGCCUGGGAGACGUUCGCAGCAUCCUUU